rnacentral:rRNA from 1 species
GACGAACGCUGGCGGCGUGCUUAACACAUGCAAGUCGAACGGAAAGACCCUGCUUUUGUGGGGUGCUCGAGUGGCGAACGGGUGAGUAACACGUGAGUAACCUGCCCUUGACUUUGGGAUAACUUCAGGAAACUGGGGCUAAUACCGGAUAGGAGCUCCUGCUGCAUGGGGGGGGUUGGAAAGUUUCGGCGGUUGGGGAUGGACUCGCGGCUUAUCAGCUUGUUGGUGUGGUAGUGGCUUACCAAGGCUUUGACGGGUAGCCGGCCUGAGAGGGUGACCGGCCACAUUGGGACUGAGAUACGGCCCAGACUCCUACGGGAGGCAGCAGUGGGGAAUAUUGCACAAUGGGCGGAAGCCUGAUGCAGCAACGCCGCGUGCGGGAUGACGGCCUUCGGGUUGUAAACCGCUUUCGCCUGUGACGAAGCGUGAGUGACGGUAAUGGGUAAAGAAGCACCGGCUAACUACGUG